AUCCAAACUUGGUGGUUCAGUUCCAAUCGCCCCCUCCUCUCUUUAGGUUUUUGUCUUUUCUCCGAUCCUCUUCUCCACCUAUGAAUAGGAAUUGAGAUAGUUUUUUGAGUUCUCGUAUCUCAGAUUCAUGAGAAAAGAGACCCUUGUCUCCUUGUUCCCUCCAGGUGUUUGAUUCGAUUCAACUCGUGUUCUUUCCUUCUUAAUUUCCGUUGGAUUUUUCGAGUCCUUUUAUUUCUGUUCGUUCGACUUGCAGACGCGUGAGACUCUGCUUGUCUCCUUGUUCCCUCCAGACGCGUGAGACUCUGCGCUCCGCGGAUAUCGCCUGGCAGGCAGCACCAGCGCCGGAUCCGCUCCUGGCUGGGCGGGCAGCGCAGUCGGCGCACGGGAGCCCGCAGGUCCUGCCGCUGGAGGAGCAGUCGAGCUCAGGCGGCCGGGCCCAGGCGGAACCGGUCAGCGGCCGCCCGCACAGCUCUGCUGGCGUCGGUGUCCGGUCACCUGGCCGGGUUGGGGCGAGGCAGCCCACAGCACUUGGUGGUCGGUCUUCUCCUGAACGGGACAGCGCGCGGAGGCACAGCAGCACUGCAGCGGAUAAAGACGGGGCGCUGAAACACAGGGUUGGGCAGCCGAGCUUCACGCCCGCACGGUGCUCGACGAAUUGCCGCGCCGCACCGGUGGACAGCUGCAAGGCGCACGCCAAAGCGACCCAGGAGAAGGAGCAGGUCGGCACAGCAAGGUGUCCACACGCACUCAGACCCAACUCCCAAGUUCAGCGAGGCUUACAUGCAUUCUUGCUGCGCUCACUUUUGAUUGGUUUUUUCAAAUGUGAAAUGUUGCUUUCAUGCUACAGUAAGAACGGUUAGGCAAUCAUUACUUGCUGAAUUAGAUAUUCACUUAAGCUUUGCAUGAUUCCUGUAGAUUCGUGCACCAAAGCAUAAUUCUCUCGGUGUGCAUGCUAUAUGUCUGCUCUGUAGAAGUGUUUGUUUUGGAACUAGCGAUGCAUACUGCUUUUAUUCA